CUCUCCAUGUCUGUUGCUCUCAAAUAAAUAAAUAAAUAAUGAACAACAACAAAAAAAAAAGUCACAAAACAGAGUACACAUAGGAAGAAUAACAACCACAUCAGAUCCCAAAGACUGGGGUGGACCUCUUUCUUAAUGUCCACUGUCCUUUGUCCUAAGAUUUGGUGCAAUAUUA